rnacentral:lncRNA from 13 species
AAGGAAGCCCAGAAAGAGAGCAAGGGCCGGGCCUCAUUCCUGAUGGGGGUUGAGAGCUGCAGAGAGCCUGAUGUCUGAGGGUUGGAGAUGAUGCUUCCCAAAAACGUGUCUUAGAGGACCAGUAGGAUUUGGGUACAUAUGUGAGGAGGAGGAGAUGGAGGCUCAGAGAGACCAACCACUUUCCCAAGGUCACAAAGUAGGCUGCAUCGGGAGUACUUGUCUAAACAACGGCAGCUGUGCCUCCUGGAAGGUGACCUGGGACUGGACUUACAGAGGCAGCAGAAAAGAACAGGAAGAAGCUGAGAUGGAAAGUGCAGGCUUCGGAGUUCUCUGAAGCAUGUCAAACUUGGGGCUUGAUCACCUCUAAGGGUGCUUUCAGCUCUAAAAGCCUCUUGGCUCUGUCCAGGGAAGGGCUACUGUGUGUCAAGUGUGGGCUGGCACUGCUGAGGAUGGGGGCAUGGGGAAUACAGCCCAGAGGACAAGGUUUGCUGGAAGAGGGCCAAAUCCUGGACUGAUAAAUGACGAUGGUGCUAAAGCCAUCCCCUGCUUGACACCGUGUGCCCAGCCCAUUCAUCACUAGGUGGAGCAGAGGGGGUUGGGGACGGGCACUGGCUCAGACAGGUCUGCCUUGUCCUUAGCUGCACCUCUGGGAGGGAGGGAGGGAGGGGAGGCUGUGCAGUCUUGCUGUACUCAGGCUGUGACGGCAGC